CAACAAUUAUACAAUUAUUUAGGUACAGACGAAGUAUAAGUAAUUCCUGUUGCAGGUUUUUCAAGUGGAUUUUAGGGUACUGUGCAUCAGAAGGGAUAGUGGGGGACCCCAAACCCAGAAUUUCCAGCAGAUAAAGGACCUGAGUUGUUCAAGGGAAAAAUAUUGCACUCUGUGGACUAUUCUUACACAGAUAAUGCGGCUGAAUUUGUCGAAGGGAAGAGUGGCAUACUUGGAUCUGGAAAAUAAGCAUUUGAUAUUGCUGCAGAGGUUGCCAAGUUGAAUGGUGCAGCUCAGCCGUGCACCAGGAUCUGCAGAAAACUAACGGGGACUUUACAUUAAUUACUUCUACCUUAACCGCAUCUCGCAACUACUUGUUCAUAAGCCUGGUGGAGGAUUUCUGCACUACAUAUUGGCUUGCGCACUCUCUCCCUUGAGAAAGUAUACGCCCUCAAAUUGCUCAGUUGGCAACAGUCGGGUACUCAGAAAGCCUUACCGACAAUAUAUGCCUCAAAGAGGAUUUGUCAAUUGGGUAAUCCAUUUCCUUUUUGGUGGCUUCCAGUUGCCAGGCAUAAGAUGCAUGGAAGAGAGUGUAGCAGAGUAGGCAAGGUAGAAGGAUCUUUAGAACGGAAAGUAUUUUCGUCAAUCUUGUAUAAGCACCGGGGUUUUUUGCUUUAAUGAUUUGUUGCGCCAAGACAUCGGAUGCAAGACUAGAAAGAAAAGAUUCCUGGCUGAAUGGUUACAGCCAUAUGGACGUGCUGAUUAUGCAGGCCAUUGCUGAAGACAACAGCACAUUUUUCACUAGUAUAUUCAAAGCAAAAGAAGAGAUAAGAGCAGAUACCUUCAGGGCUAUAUAGAUGAUUUCAGCAAGUCUUUGUUUUAGCAAGUUUGUUAUUAGAUUAACUAUAGGAAAUAACUCUACAGUUAACCAUAAUAAAUUUCAA